UUUGGGCUCUGUGCCCAGCUGUGGGUCCCCGCAGAGCUGGGUCGAUGACAAGACGCCCUGGACCACGCGCUACGGCUCCAUCGCGGGGCUGGCCGAGCUGGGCCACGACGUGAUCAAGACCCUGAUCCUGCCGCGGCUGCCGGCCGAGGGCGAGCGCGUGCGGAACAUUCUGGAAGGGCCCGUGGUGAGCACCAUCGACCGCAUCGGGGCCGACCACGUGCAGAGCCUGCUGCUGAAGCACUGUGCCCCGGUGCUGG